UGCCAGACCCUGUAACCUACCCCCUCAUUUGAAGAAAAUAAGAAGGCAUAAGGCAGACCACCGUCAUCAAGAAAACAGCUUCAGGAGGGCUCAGCCUGGACUUCUGCUUAGCCCUCAACAGCCAGAGCUGAGUCAGAUUUCCACAGUGUGCGGGAGCUGAGGCGUCAGACAUCACAGAACAUACUGACUCAAGCAGUGAUGGCUGUGACAUCACGAAGAAUGCAGUUUGUUAUUGCCUGAAAUGUCAACGAGCUGUGGUGAUUGUGAGUGAUGGAGGGGCUAGCUAGCACGUCUCCGGAGUUGUGCAUUUUUAGAGACACAGAGGCUGCCCCUGGGAGCUUUUACCACCAGGGAUUAUCUCAGCAUCCUCGGCUGCUCCCUGAUCUCACAGGCUCUGUAUCAGUCACCAGCCACAUCCCAGCUUCCAACCACCUCCCACCCCAGCAGCACGUGUCCUCUGCUGGUCUUCUGGGGUUUCCUCUGUCUCAGCAAGUAGCUUGAGGAGGGGGAGAAAUCACCCACCAAACACCAACACACACACACACACAGUUCGCCCCUCUUUCCUUACCCGGCAGUCCACAGUGGUCCCUCUGGAGCAAAGGACAGAGCUAGCACACACCUGGGUUUUCUCAGCAGCCCCAACAGGACAGCAGCCUGCUCAGCAGCUUCUGUGGCCUCAUAUCCCUACCCAGAGGCACUUCUGAGAUUCUGAAACCUGUGCCAGGCUGACGCCUUUCACCCGGACAUGGACUGGGAGCAGCUCUCUGAACCCAAACAGCCCCUGGUUCGGGCCCUGCUGUCUCCUGAGAACAGACAUCUGUCAAAGGAACCACUGCGCAUUUUAGCAACUACCUUGCAGCAUUUCCCCACACACAACCUACCAAGGCAAAGGCCAGGGCUCUGUGGGGUCUCAGUGCCUCCCAGUACCCUGCUGUCGAACUUUCUAGCUAAAGAACUGGGUGCAGAAGGGCAAGGCAGUUAAGGCUCUCUCCUUGAUAAUGCGUUAAGUCCCUCCUUCCCUUGUACACCAUGCACAUCACCUCAGGAGAGAGCCCUGGGAUGCAGGGAGGGGGCAAUGUUAACAAAGGGGCCAAACACUAACAUUCCCACAGGAGUGUCUAUUUAUUGGUAUUGAUAUUAAGCCACUUCCCAGCAGUCACUGCUGUAAUAAGACAGGACUCAGCGUCUAAAGGUACUAAAGUGACAGAGACAUCACAAAGCACAGGGGACAUUCAUGACUACAAACUGGCUUUUCUCCUCCGGUCAGGGUGAUGGCACUUAGUGUCCUUCCUGACCACGCCUCCUGGUCCCCGCUGAUGCACAUGUUCCUCCCGUUCGACCCUGGAGGAUAACAGACCUGCUCCACACAUGUGACCUCCUCUCUGAAGAUAAACUCGCUGAGCAUCCAGCUGGUGCCACAGAUGCUCCAGCAGGAAAGCCACAGUCUGGUGACAAGCCGGUUAGCACCGAAGAGCAGCUUCUGCUUCCUCGUCACGAGUAAACACGACACUUUUUAAAUUCAUUUUUCUUUUUUUUUCGUAAGGAAAGAAAAGUUGUCUUUUUAAAAAAUAUAUGGCACUAGAGUGUAAAACUAUA